AUUGAACGCUGGCGGCAGGCCUAACACAUGCAAGUCGAGCGAGCGGCGGACGGGUGAGUAAUGUCUGGGAAACUGCCUGAUGGAGGGGGAUAACUACUGGAAACGGUAGCUAAUACCGCAUAACAUCAGCUGUGCCCAGAUGGGAUUAGCUGGUAGGGGGGGUAACGGCUAACCUAGGCGACGAUCCCUAGCUGGCCUGAGAGGAUGACCAGCCACACUGGAACUGAGACACGGGCCAGACUCCUACGGGAGGCAGCAGUGGGGAAUAUUGGACAAUGGGCGAAAGCCUGAUGGAGCCAGGCCGCGUGAGUGAAGAAGGCCUUCGGGUUGUAAAGCACUUUCGGCGGGGAGGCGUUACCCAAAGAGGAAGCACCGGCUAACUCCGUGCCAGCAGCCGCGGUAAUAC
rnacentral:rRNA from 1 species